GAUGAAGACGCAGCGAAAUGCGAUAAGUAAUGUGAAUUGCAGAAUUCAGUGAAUCAUCGAAUCUUUGAACGCACAUUGCGCCCGCUAGUAUUCUGGCGGGCAUGCCUGUCCGAGCGUCAUUUCAACCCUCAAGCCCCCGGGCUUGGUGUUGGGGAUCGGCGAGCCUCCGCGCCCGCCGUCCCCUAAAUCUAGUGGCGGUCUCGCUGUAGCUUCCUCUGCGUAGUAGCACACCUCGCACUGGGAAACAGCGCGGCCACGCCGUUAAACCCCCAACUUCUGAACGUUUGACCUCGGAUCAGGUAGGAAUACCCGCUGAACUUAAGCAUAUCAAUAAGCGGAGGA
rnacentral:misc_RNA from 1 species